UUGGCUUGUUUAAGCCGCCUGAGUUUGGCGGCAGGUCUGCCAAAAAAACGUCCUCACUGCCUCAUUUCUGUCUCUGCAGUUGUUGGAUUGUCCCAUGGGCUGGUCUCUGUGGCGCAAAUGCAAAUUUGAUCACCAUCCGACCCCACGUCCAAUGUGACCCCACCUCCUAGCCAGGCCCACGCCCCGGUGCUCGGGGAUCCUGGCUACACCAAAUCUUGUUUGCUUCGGUUUUGAACCCCUGAGCUUUUGCAAAGGUCCCACUCUUGGAAGCCCUCUCCAGGCUCACGGCAGCCUCUCACAUACUCCAGGUGACCCCCACUUGUAUGUCCAAAGAUCAAGAGCCCUUCUCGGCGAGUCUCCCUGCAGUCUUGCUUCCGAACAAAAAAAGGAUUUCUCUAAGCUCUUCAAAAGAAAAAUGGAACUCCGUUCAGAGGAAGUGAAAAUCAAGGUAGCUUCAAGCUCCCCAGCUGCAACAAAGCAGGAGGAGAGUGGAACAAAGGUUUGGUCGUCCUCGAGGAAGGAUGUAAGCUGGGCUUUGAUGCAUCGCCAGGCUCUGACCACACUUCACCGUCUGCUGCUGCCACCAGGACUGCGGUCACCUUCUGCCUGUCUUGGUUCAAAUGAGGGCUUGACCCACCAGCUUCCCCAGCUACAGCCGAACACAGCCCUCGCUCCUGCUCUGCUUUUCUCCAUGGUGCUCACUGCCAUCCGUCCAUCUCCUCUGCACCUGUCUUCCUCUGCUAGAAUUUCACGGCUCAGACGAGGACUUUUGUUGUCUUGCAAGAAGAGUGGAUGCGGGUGGCGAAGGUGGAGAACACCACCUGUCACGUCGUCCUCCAUCAGAGAAGACAAAAGGACAGGGUGAUGUGAUGCUAAUAAAUCCUGUAGCUGUUAAGUGGUUUGAAAAUGUAUGUAGGAGAUCUUAAGAUCACAGUAUUGUUAAGGAGGGAAUGUUGUCUUCCAAAUAAGUUCUAAGUGUUAGAUCCAGGCAGAUCAUAGUCCGAGUGCGUCAAAAACCAUCAGGGAUGAAGCUUCUCUAAAUGAUAAUGGCAACAGACUAUGUUCGCGGGGUUUUAAGUUCACCUACCAAAGAAGUCAAGUCUCUGGUUGAUGAAAAACUAAAACUGUACAAUGUGUUGCUUACUAGACAUCCAUCGACACAGAAAGGAAGGAUUAAAAACAGAAGGAAAACAGAUAAGGCAUACCUAAUUUACAAAAUUAGAUAAAAGGUCAAUUGAUUUUGAUAAAAAUAUUAAGAAUAAUGAAUACAUGACAUUAAUUAAACUUUUUGUAUAGGGUCAAAUAAUAUAGCAUCAAGGCAUCUUAAAAUCUAUUGAAAAGAACAGUGAAGAUGGUUGGAUAAUAAUUUUAAAAACCCCAUAAUAAUUAUAAGGAGAGACAUUAAUUCAAGAAACACAAAUAAAAUGAGGGCAGGGGGAAAGAUGUUAGUAUAAAUUAAAAAAAAAAGCAAACAGGCAUAUGUAGGACUCUUGCCAAGCAGGAAUUACUCAUCUCUGUGAAAAAUUUUCUGUAACAAGGGAAGAUAUAAAUAAAAAUGAUAAAAUCUUCCAAUUAAAAGAUUACCCUUUGAUCCAAAUACAAAAGCAAAUGGACACUAAACAAAGCCCCGAAGAAAAUCUAAAUGAACUUCAAAGAGCAGAAGCUUUCAGAGGCUUCAUUCCUUAGUAGGCAGAGGGGAAAAAAAAAAAAAAAAAACCAACAGAAAUUAUAGAAAUGAGAAAUACAACCAAGCACUAGUGCUUUCAAAAUAAGGGCACGACCAAUAACAUGCACGCAUCGGUGCAAAUCUAAAGUCAGAGCAGAAAGUCCGUAUAAAGUGAGUUAGAAGUGAAAAGGGGAUAAAUGAUAAUAAU